rnacentral:miRNA from 1 species
UCUCCCCAUAGCCUCAGCUGUCCUGGAACUCACUAUGUAGACCAGGCUGGUCUUGAACUCAGAGAUCCACCUGCCUCUGCCUCCCAAGUGCUGGGACUACAGGCAUGUGCCACCAUGCCUG